GACAGAGGGGGCAAGCGUUGCUCGGAAUUACUGGGCGUAAAGGGCGCGUAGGCGGGAUGGCAAGUCGGUCGUGAAAUCCCUCGGCUCAACUGAGGAUCGUCGAUCGAUACUGCCGUUCUUGAGGAUUGCAGAGGAGACUGGAAUUCCCGGUGUAGCGGUGAAAUGUGUAGAUAUCGGGAGGAACACCGGUGGCGAAGGCGGGUCUCUGGGCAAUUCCUGACGCUGAGGCGCGAAAGCGUGGGGAGCAAACGGG
rnacentral:rRNA from 1 species